AUGACAAAGGUGUUUGGCAAAUACCUCCGGCCUUCUCAGAGGACGGACAUUCUCCUCAUGGCCAUCAAGGCCUUGACGUCAGACGAUGUCCGGGACAGGCAGAAGGGCACAGAUGUCGUGUACAUGGCUGUGAGGGACCCCGCGUCCUGGCUGACGGAUGUGCUAGAAAUUAUGAGAUACAUCCACAAAUCUGUGGAGCACGUCCGCACGGAGCCAGCCCGCAAGAGCCUGGACUCACUGCUGCUGGUGUUGACAGACUGGAGCCCCAGGGAGACGGUCAGGAGCCUCUUGAGGAUCUCUCCAACGUGUGACAGGGCGGCCGUGGCCAUGUGGGAGGUGCUGAUCUCCGUGCGCUGGGCUUUGUGGAGCGUCUUGUUGCAGCUGGUCGACGUGCUGCAGGACCGGCGGCUGCGCAGGGUGUUCAGCUCUGCCAUGGAGGACGCCUGCAUCUACCCCAUGAUUCUCCUGCUCUGCACUGACAUUCAUGAGGCGGAUUUUGCUGCCCUCUAUGAAACCCAGAGGUACCUGAGGCGUCCCAGCCCGGUGAUGCUCUCGCUGGUGCUCACGGGCCUCGUCACGCUCUCGAAAACACCUGGAACGGCCAGAAAAAUGUCAGUGCUGCUGCCAGACAUACUGGAGACCCUGACGGACACCAACGCCCAUGUCAAGAGCAAGGCUCUGCUGGUGUUCAUCAACGUGAUGGGUCACAUGAAGAGGGAGGAGGCCGACCUCAUCUCCCUGAAGCUGGUGGAGAAGCUCCUGCCCCUCUUCGAUGACGAGUGCAGCCGGGUGCGGGAGCUCUCCAUCAGCCUCUUCAGAGAUAUGAUGAAGACUGCAGUGGGGAGAAACAAGAAAAAAAUGGUGAAGACAGUGCAGAGUAACCUGAUCCCACUGUACUUCCAUACGAGCGACCAGGUCGAGAGCGUGGCCAAGGCUUCCUGGAACACCCUCAGCGCCUGUGGAGACUUCCUGGGCUGGAGGAGGCUCAGCUCCGCGGCCGAGACAGGGCAGACACACCUGAUCGGAGACUGCUUGAUAACGCACAAGAGGAACAGCGUGGACGAGUAUCUGCGCCAGAGCCUGCCCUACGUGGAGAACCCUCAGGCCACCGUGCGGGAGGAGGCCGUCAGGUUCAUCGGGCUUGCUGUGCGGCGCCGGAGUACCCUCAGCCAGGAGAGGGUGUGGCAGAUCUGCAACAGUGAGUAGGGGACAGCCUGGGCAGGAAAAUGCUCCAGGGGCAGAUGAGCGGUUUCAGAAAGUUGUUUGUGUCUUAACACAUAGGUUAGCAGGUUACUCUUUAGUAAGGUCUUGAAAUUGGAGGAAUUUUGUUUCCUCACCAAAAAGGAAGGGAAUCUGUGGGGAAAGAACAGCCGUCUCUGUCCUGCCCCUUGCCAGGAGGCUGAUGAUGUCCAGACUCCACACUGGGAUGC
rnacentral:lncRNA from 1 species